AGGCGACCAAAGAGGAAGGGCAACACCCGUACCCAUUCCGAACACGGUAGUAAAGUCUUCCAUCGAUCUGAUCGGUACUGCCUUUCGGCGGGACAAUCAGGACGUUGCCUGACU
rnacentral:rRNA from 1 species